rnacentral:rRNA from 1 species
UACGUAGGGGGCUAGCGUUGCUCGGAAUCACUGGGCGUAAAGCGCACGUAGGCGGAUUGCUAAGUCAGGGGUGAAAUCCUGGAGCUCAACUCCAGAACUGCCUUUGAUACUGGCGGUCUCGAGUCCGGGAGAGGUGAGUGGAACUGCGAGUGUAGAGGUGAAAUUCGUAGAUAUUCGCAAGAACACCAGUGGCGAAGGCGGCUCACUGGCCCGGUACUGACGCUGAGGUGCGAAAGCGUGGGGAGCAAACAGG